AAGUCGUAAGGUUUCCGUAGGUGAACCUGCGGAAGGAUCAUUAACACGCCCCCCGUGAACCUUUAUCCUGCUCUUGUUACCUGCGUAGUUCGCAAUCUCUGAUAAAUCAUAGCCGGAAAGUUGUAGUGAUUCAGAGACCUCUGGCUACGUGCGAACACCAAUCGAGCGGUAGUUCUAUAUGCAAUGUUCCCCAAGCAGUCAGUGUCGGAAAGUGUCAUUGAUUGUGCAAGGAUAGCUUCUACAAUUCCUGUCGACCGUACACUCGGGCAGGAGCUUUGCAAAAGGGUCCCCAUGCCCCCUAAUAACCCCACAGUUUAAUGUGAAGCUCAAUGUAAUACAUUGGGUGGAAAAAACCGAACAACUGUUAACAAUGGAUAUCUUGGUUCUC
rnacentral:misc_RNA from 1 species